GGACCCGUAGCUCAGUCUGGAUAGAGCAGCCGGUUCCUAACCUGCAGGUCGAGGGUUCGAAUCCCUUCGGGUCCG
rnacentral:tRNA from 1 species